CACUCGUAUGGGUUGAUUGUAAAGGGUUAGGGGGUUUUCCACCCUUUAGUGCUGAAGAUUAAGGCAUUAAGCACUCCCCCUGGGGAGUACGGCCGCAAGGCUGAAACUCAAAGGAAUUGACGGGGGGCCGCACAAGCGGUGGAGCAUGUGGUUUAAUUUGAAGCAACGCGAAGAACCUUACCAGGUCUUGACAUCCUUUGAAAACCCUAGAGAUAGGGCUUCUCCUUUGGGAGCAGAGUGACAGGUGGUGCAUGGUUGUUGUCAGCUCGUGUCGUGAGAUGUUGGGUUAAGUCCCGCAACGAGCGCAACCCUUGAUUUUAGUUGCCAUCAUUAAGUUGGGCACUUUAAGGUGACUGCCGGUGACAAACCGGAGGAAGGUGGGGAUGACGUCAAAUCAUCAUGCCCCUUAUGACCUGGGCUACACACGUGCUACAAUGGACGGUACAAAGAGCUGCAAGACCGCGAGGUGGAGCUAAUUUCAUAAAACCGUUUUCAGUUCGGAUUGUAGGCUGCAACUUGCCUACAUGAAGCUGGAAUCGCUAGUAAUCGCGGAUCAGCAUGCCGCGGUGAAUACGUUCCCGGGCCUUGUACACACCGCCCGUCACACCACGAGAGUUUGUAACACCCGAAGUCGGUGGGGUAACCUUUUUGGAGCCAGCCGCCUAAGGUGGGACAGAUGAUUGGGGUGAAGUCGUAACAAGGUAGCCG
rnacentral:rRNA from 1 species